rnacentral:rRNA from 1 species
AGAGUUUGAUCAUGGCUCAGAUUGAACGCUGGCGGCAUGCCUUACACAUGCAAGUCGAACGGCAGCACGGGUACUUGUACCUGGUGGCGAGUGGCGAACGGGUGAGUAAUACAUCGGAACGUACCUUAUCGUGGGGGAUAACGCAGCGAAAGCUGUGCUAAUACCGCAUACGCCCUGAGGGGGAAAGCGGGGGAUCGAAAGACCUCGCGCGAUUAGAGCGGCCGAUGCUUGAUUAGCUUGUUGGUGGGGUAAAAGCCCACCAAGGCGACGAUCAAUAGCUGGUCUGAGAGGACCAUCAGCCACACUGGGACUGAGACACGGCCCAGACUCCUACGGGAGGCAGCAGUGGGGAAUUUUGGACAAUGGGGGCAACCCUGAUCCAACAAUGCCGCGUGAGUGAAGAAGGCCUUCGGGUUGUAAAGCUCUUUUGUCAGGGAAGAA